AGGCUGUCACAACUUACAUAAAACCUUGGAGGAGUGUGAGACAGGAGAGGAUAGGAUGCAGUUUUCUGGCGAGUUUUAUCUUGUAGAUGGGAACUCACAACAGCUCUCCCUGCAGAAUAAACCAGAGCUCUGAGGUCUUGCCUAAAGAAGAGGAAGAGAGAUGAGGAAGAUUGUGACAACAGCAAAACCUGUCUCCCUGUCUCAGCUGGAUUAAUAACUUAUUUUAAUUACUUGAUUUAGCUCUAAUAAAUAAAUUAACUACACUGAAUGACAACUGUAUAAAUUAUAUACAGAUAUUCACACAAAACCAUAGGUUCACUUUUUAAAAUACUUUUAUUUUACUACUCUUUUGUUUGACUCCUAUGACACUGAAGUCAUUUCCGUCUCUCAGAUGGAAUUUUGAAGAAGCAAAAAGAUCAGAUUUUAAUACAAUUAUUGACUUUAGUUUUUAGUAUGUUGAAUGGAAAUCCUAAAAGUAAAUUUCCCGAUAUUCAGAAAUAAUAACAUUUCAGCAAUGAUUAGUUUUACUUUACUAUCAUGUGUUUUAAACAAUGAAAAGCUCACAGGCACCUCUCUUUACACAUAACCCCCUCAAACACAUUAGACAGUGUACCCAAUUUAUACCACGGCAAGAAACAGUAAACUACACAACCAACACACAACUUAUUAAAAAUGCAUCCCUGAGUGGGAGUUGAAUUAGCAGCUGUUCAUGUUCAGCAUUCUGAUACCCUGAGUGUAAAAACUGUCCUUAAACUGUCCUUACUUGUUGCAGAAGUCAGUGGUUCCUCCUACCUGAUGGGUGGAAACAGACUAAAAGCAGGAUGGUGGAAUCUGGUGAUCUCCUGCUUGUUUGGAAUGAAAACCUGCACAGGUUGUGUUUUUUUAAUGAUGGUUUUAGAGUGAACUUCCCACAUUAGAUCACUAGAGACGUGUAAGCCAGGCUGUCUCUAACUGCUUUCCAUCUCCACGUUUCCACCAUUUACAGUAAUAGAAAUAUGAGCUGAGUUGUUCCUUCACAAAUCUACUAUAAAUACUUUAGUUUUGCUGAUGUUUAAGGCAAAGCAAGUUUAUUAUAAAGCACACUUUAUACACAAUGUAGUACAGAGGAUUACAAUCAGAGUAAAAAUGAUAGAUGAGAAUAAAAUGAAUGCAGAUAUGUAAUUAAAGUACUGAACUGAAAGGAAAAGAGAAUAAAGAGUAAAGGAUGGAAAGAUACAAAGUGAAAUUGUUAGAGAGUAUGAAAGGUGAACAGAUGUGUUGUCUGCUUUUGAAAAUGGCUGGAGUGCACGUCUGGGCAUUUAUUCCACCUGACUGAUGGUGGUUGCCUCACCAUGUUUUGUUCUGGUUCUAAAUACUGGUGACUGGUCAGACUCUAGUGAGCUGAGAUGUCUAGCAGGCCUGUGUUUUUAUGGGAUGUCAGCGGUGUAUUUAGGUUUAGCCCAUUCGGUGAUUUGUAGACAUGCAGCAGUGUUUUAAAUUGAAUUUGGGAAUAAACUGAUAAAUCUGA